rnacentral:rRNA from 1 species
GGUGAACGCUGGCGGCGUGCCUAAUACAUGCAAGUCGAGCGAACGGACGAGAAGCUUGCUUUUCUGAUGUUAGCGGCGGACGGGUGAGUAACACGUGGAUAACCUACCUAUAAGACUGGGAUAACUUCGGGAAACCGGAGCUAAUACCGGAUAAUAUUUUGAACCGCAUGGUUCAAAAGUGAAAGACGGUCUUGCUGUCACUUAUAGAUGGAUCCGCGCUGCAUUAGCUAGUUGGUAAGGUAACGGCUUACCAAGGCAACGAUGCAUAGCCGACCUGAGAGGGUGAUCGGCCACACUGGAACUGAGACACGGUCCAGACUCCUACGGGAGGCAGCAGUAGGGAAUCUUCCGCAAUGGGCGAAAGCCUGACGGAGCAACGCCACGUGAGUGAUGAAGGUCUUCGGAUCGUAAAACUCUGUUAUUAGGGAAGAACAUAUGUGUAAGUAACUGUGCACAUCUUGACGGUACCUAAUCAGAAAGCCACGGCUAACUACGUG